UACGGGGGGGGCAAGCGUUGUUCGGAAUUACUGGGCGUAAAGGGCUCGUAGGUGGCCAACUAAGUCAGACGUGAAAUCCCUCGGCUUAACCGGGGAACUGCGUCCGAUACUGGUUGGCUUGAGUUUGGGAGAGGGAUGCGGAAUUCCAGGUGUAGCGGUGAAAUGCGUAGAUAUCUGGAGGAACACCGGUGGCGAAGGCGGCAUCCUGGACCAAUACUGACGCUGGGGAGCGAAAGCCAGGGGAGCAAACGGG
rnacentral:rRNA from 1 species